UUAUUGUCAGCUGAAACGAAGUGCUGGACGCACGGGCUGCGGGCAAAG
rnacentral:ncRNA from 1 species